rnacentral:lncRNA from 1 species
UUGAGUGGUAUAAACCAUGAUUACCCGUUAGGCUCACAUUAAGAUCUUUUGGAGGAUAAUUUCCUGGGAGAUAGCUUGUACACUUCAUUUUUCUCCCCACCCUUUUGUUAAUCUAUUUUACAAUUUUUCAUAUUUUGUUAAUCUAUUUUACACUGUCAAGAUCCAGGUCAAAAUGGUAAAUGAAUUGUGAACAUUUUGGAAAUAAAGUGAAGCAAAUAUGAAAUAAAGAUUUUGAUAAACAGGCAACAUUCAAAGAUAACUACAAUUAUGCUCCGUUGGUACAAUAAAAUUAGUUCAAGAUAAUUCAGACUCAGUGAGGAAUCAUUUGCCUAAAAGUAAAUCGAGACAUUGAAAUCCAUACAUACCAAUGGAAUGAAGGAAACUUGAAAAGUGAUAGUAAUUUGGAACUUAGAUUACAUCUAUAAAAACACUGUCUCUAAAACCAAAAACACUUGUAGUGGCAACAUACCGAAAAAGGGAGAAAGAAAGUAACAAAUCUGGCUUUUUACUCCAAAAAUAUUGAAACAGAGAUCACAUUGGAAAAAAAUCGGAAAAUACCAAUACAACAAAACCCAAAAUUAGAAGAAAAUAUUUAUUAAAAGCGAAAAGGUCAACAAUCAUAGAACCAAUCGAUACAACUGACAGUCACAGGACUUGCAACCAUCAACCAUCACAGAUGCAGAUACUCAGAAGAGAGAUGAAAACCAAAACCCAACAUUCCAAUCCUCAGAUUUGCAAUAGAAACAGGAGGCACACCUAGGAGCGAGGUCGGAAGCUCGGGUACACCUGCAAUUCACCAACAAACAAAUUUGCAAUAUUUGAUUUGACAAAAUACUGAUUUUGAGAGAUGAAGAAAGGGAGGCAGACCGUUUAUUAGAGACUAGGGCAGAGUACCUUUUUUUACGAAUGAGCGAGGUACAUAGCUAGGUUACAACUGCGAUCCACAGACAAACAAGUUUGCAAUAUUCGUUUUGACAAAAUACAAAAUCGACCUGCGAUUUUGAGGGAUGAACAGAAGGGGGCAGAUCGACCUGACUGCGUUAUGUAUUAGAGACUAGGGCAGCGUAGUCGUGUAUAUUGCUUGAACAGAGAGUUUUUUGAGUUAGGAUUU